CCUACGGGAGGCAGCAGUGAGGAAUAUUGGUCAAUGGGCGCGAGCCUGAACCAGCCAAGUAGCGUGAAGGAUGACUGCCCUCCGGGUUGUAAACUUCUUUUAUAAAGGAAUAAAGUGUGGCACGUGUGCCUUUUCGUAUUUACUUUAUGAGUAAGGAUCGGCUAACUCCGUGCCAGCAGCCGCGGUAAUACGGAGGAUGCGAGCGUUAUCCGGAUUUAUUGGGUUUAACGGGAGCGUAGAUGGGUUGUUAAGUCAGAUGUGAAAGCAUCCGGCUCAACCUGAGAAGUGCAUUUGAUCCUGGCAGUCUUGAGUACAGUAGAGGGGGGUAGAAGUCGAGGUGUAGCGGUGAAAUGCGUAGAGAUCUGGAAGAACACCGGUGGCGAAGGCAGCUCCCUGGACUGAGACUGACGCUGAGGUUCGAAAGCGUGGGUAGCAAACAGGAUUAGAUACCCGAGUAGUC
rnacentral:rRNA from 1 species